rnacentral:rRNA from 1 species
GAGGAGCCUGCGUCCUAUCAGCUAGUUGGUGAGGUAAUGGCUUACCAAGGCAAUGACGGGUAGCUGGACUGAGAGGUCGAUCAGCCACAACUGCACUGAGACACGGGCAGUACACCUACGGGUGGCAGCAACCAGGAAUAUUGCGCAAUGGGGGGAACCCUGACGCAGCGACGCCGCGUGGAGGAAGACGGCCUUCGGGUUGUAAACUCCUUUUGCCAAGCCGUUCACAGCUUGGCGAAUAAGCCUCUACUAACUACGUGCCAGAAGUCUCGGUAAUACGUAGGAGGCAAGCAUUAUCCGGAAUCACUGGGCGUAAAGUGUGCGUAGGCGCCUUGAUAAGUCACACCUUAAAGACUAAGGCUUACCCUUAGGAAUGGGCGUGAUACUACCAAGGUUGAGGAUUGGCAGGGAUGCUGGAACAGUUAGUGUAGCAGUGAAAUGCGUUGAUAUUAACUGG